rnacentral:rRNA from 1 species
GUCAAAAAAAAGAAGGCUCACGACGGAGACCUAGGCUCUCAGAGACGAUGAAAGGCGCGAUACCAGCGAUAUGCUUUGGGGAGUAGGAAGAAUGCAUUGAUCCAAAGAUUCCUGAAUAGGGCAACCUGUCUGACUAUCUAUGAAUUCAUAAAUAGAUUAGAGGCAACCUGGUGAACUGAAACAUCUCAGUAGCCAGAGGAAAAGAAAGCAAAAGCGAUUCCCGUAGUAGCGGCGAGCGAACUGGGACCAGCCUAAACCAAUUUAAUUGGGGUUGUGGGAAGACAAACUUGCAAACUUGUUUGCUCGGUGCUUCACUCCUUCACAUCGCUUGCGGGACGCAGCGAUGCGAUCCGCGGAGCGGCAGCGCGACCGAAGCGAUGCAAAAGAAAGAAAGAAAAAAGACGAAGCAGCUGAAUCCUGCACCAUAGAUGGUGAAAGUCCAGUAGUCAUAUUCAAUUCUUUUAUUAAAUCAACGAUUUAAUACUUUGAUUUAUUAAAUAAACUUGCGAAAGCAUUUGCUUUUGCUCGGCUUCUCCGAAGCGGAGCGAAAAGCAAAAGUCAAAGAAGCAACUAAAAUGUCUAUCCCGAGUAGCAUGGGGCACGUGGAAUCCCGUGUGAAUCUGCGAGGACCACCUCGUAAGGCUAAACACUCCUGAGAGACCGAUAGCGAAAUAGUACGGCGACGGAAAGGUGAAAAGAACCCCCGUAGGGGAGUGAAAUAGAACAUGAAAUCGUGAGCUGACAAGCAGUGGGAGGAUUUCUUUUUGAAUCUGACCGCGUGCCUGUUGAAGAAUGAGCCGGCGACUUAUAGGAAGUGGCGGGUUAAAGAGUAAGAUCUGGAGCCUAAGCGAAAGCGAGUCUGAAUAGGGCGCAAGUCACUUCUUAUGGACCCGAACCUGGAUGAUCUAACCAUGAGCAAGCUGAAGCUUAGGUAACACUUAGUGGAGGGCUGAACGGACCGGUGUUGAAAAAUCGGCCGAUGACUUGUGGUUAGCGGAGAAAUUCCAAUCGAAUUCAGAGCUAGCUGGUUCUCCCCGAAAUGCGUUGAGGCGCAGCGGCAGUGAUGGGCAAUCUAAGGGUAGAGCGACUGUUUCGGUGCGGGCUGCGAAAGCGGUACCAAGUCGUGGCAAACUCCGAAUAUUAGAUAUGCUUUCCAUAUGCCAGUGAGACAGUGGGGGAUAAGCUUCAUUGUCAAGAGGGAAACAGCCCAGAUCAUCAGCUAAGGCCCCUAAAUGGCUCCUAAGUGGAAAAGGAUGUGAGAAUGCUGAAACAACCAGGAAAUUUGCUUAGAAGCAGCCAUUUUUUAAAGAGUGCGUAAUAGCUCACUGGUAAAGCGUUUUUGCGCCGACAAUGGCCGGGACUAAGGAGCCUGCCGAAGCUAUGAGAUUUUUUAUUUCUUUUAUUUAAAUUCUUUUAAUAAAGUUCUUUAAAUAAAGAAAGAAUAAAAAUCGGUAGGGGAGCGUUCAGCAUUGGGUGAAGCUUUGACGUAAGUUUGAGUGGACGAUGCUGAAGUGAGAAUGUCGGCUUGAGUAACGAAAACAUUGGUGAGAAUCCAAUGCCCCGAAAACCUAAGGGUUCCUUUACAAGGUUCGUCCAUGAAGGGUGAGUCAGGACCUAAGGCGAGGCCGAUAGGCGUAGUCGAUGGCAAACAGGUUGAUAUUCCUGUACUUUUUUGAAGGGGAACCGAGGGACGAAGUCGGCUAAAUUGAGUCUGUGAAUGGAAUGCAGUGGAAGUGUCCGAGGUUACACAGAUCGAAGAAAAACGAAUCUGUAGCUAAGGCAUGAUCCCACUCUCCUGAACUUGUUCGGGUAGAGUGUCAAUGAUGUCAUACUUCCAAGAAAAGCUCGUACACCAUCUUUUAAGAUUAAACCUUCAAAAAACCUGUACCUGAAACCGACACAGGUAGGUUGGUAGAGAAUACUAAGGGGCGCAAGAGAACUCUCUCUAAGGAACUCGGCAAAUUGGCCCCGUAACUUCGGGAGAAGGGGCGCCUUUGAUUUUAUCAAGGGCCACAGUAACAAGAUUCAGGCAACUGUUUACCAAAAACACAGGUCUCCGCAAAGUCGUAAGACAAUAUAUGGGGGCUGACGCCUGCCCAGUGCCGGAAGGUGAAGGAAGUUGGUUAUUUGGGCCUUGCGCUCAGAGAAGCUGACGACCGAAGCCCCGGUGAACGGCAGCUGUAACUAUGACAGUUCUAAGGUAGCGAAAUUCAUUGUCGAGUAAGUUUCGACCUGCACGAAAGGCGUAAUGAUCUGAAUACUGUCUCAGAGAGAGACUUGGUGAAAUAGACUUAUCCGUGAAGAUGCGGAUUAACAACAUUUGGACAGAAAGACCCUAUGAAGCUUGACUGUAUCCUGGAAUUGGGUUCGGGCUUUUCUUGCGCAGUCUAGGUGGGAGGCAUUGAAGAUUUCUUUCCGGAGAGAUUGGAGCCAUCAGUGAGAGACCACUCUGGAAAGGCUAGAAUCCUAAGAGUGAUCCCUAAUCGGGACAUUUGACGUUUUCAGGAAGGCAGUUUUUUUGGGGCGAAAGUCCUCCUAAAAGGUAACGGAGGCGCGCAAAGGUUUCCUCAGUCUGGACGGAAAUCAGACGUUACAGAGUGUAAAGGCAAAAGGAAGCUUGACUGCAAGACCUACAAGUCGAGCAGGGGCGAAAGCCGGCCUUAGUGAUCCGACGGUAUCCGCGUGGAAGGGCCGUCGCUCAACGGAUAAAAGUUACUCUAGGGAUAACAGGCUGAUCUUCUCCAAGAGUUCACAUCGACGAGAAGGUUUGGCACCUCGAUGUCGGCUCAUCACAUCCUGGGGCUGUAGUAGGUCCCAAGGGUUGGGCUGUUCGCCCAUUAAAGUGGUACGUGAGCUGGGUUCAAAACGUCGUAAGACAGUUUGGUCCAUAUCCGAUGUUGUCGUUAGAGCAUUGAGAGGACCCUUAAAUAGUACGAGAGGAUUUUUAAGGUCGUGCCUAUGGUGUAUCAGUUCUUUCUCCAGAAGGAAACGCUGAGUAGCUACGCACGGUUUAGAUAACCGCUGAAAGCAUCUAAGUGGGAAGCUUUCCUCAAGAUGAAUGCUCUCCAUUAUGCCACAGCUAGACAAGCUGAUGAUAGGUAUCAGGUGAAAGGUCUGCAAGGAUUUGAGCCGAGAUAUACUAAAGGCCAAUUGAUUUUGACCA